GCCGGGCCGAGGCGCAGCUCGCGGACAGCUGUUCGCGUAAGACUCUGCUAACGGCCUUUGUGUUCCGUUCUUUUUCCUUUUUAUUUUUCAUUUUAAGUGGGGCAGCUGUAUUCAUUCUCUCCGAUCGCCCCCAUCCUUGCCUUCGGCGGGAUUCAGAAGUCAGUUUAUUUUACAGAUUUUAUCAUUACUGCAGGCGCGCGCGCGGGUUGUGUGUGUGUGGGGGGGGGUUCCAUGUAAUUUAAUGUGGAACUUUUGAAACCUGCACACACGUGAACCGUAAGAGAAAGCAGCACGUACUUCAGCUGCAGAGAUGCUGAGACAUUUACACACGCACGUGCACACACACUCCUCCGCGUCCGGGUCCCGGCCAGACCAUCGAAAGGUACGGCCCUUGCACCAGGGUCGUUUGGAAAUUGACAGAAAUCUCAUCAACAGGAUCAAUUUCUUAGGCAGUAAAAAAAAUAAUAACAGCCUUAAACCCGAGAGCCCUGGUGAACAGUUCCAUCAGGCCGCAGUCACAGCACGCGGAGAGACUCCCGUCGGGCGCGGUCCGCGCUCCGCCUGGCGCUCUGUGUGCGCUAAGUGUCCGAGCAGCCCCGCCGCCCCACGCCGGACUUCGCGAGCGACCUUAACGGUGGCGCAACGCAGCCUUCGGCCACCAGAGGCAACCGGCGUCAGCGGCUAGUCAAAAACUGGCGCUUUUUUCCUGCUUUCCGUGUAGAGACUAUCAACUCCAUCUGUCACAAAAUCAAGGCUAAAUCUCCCCAGAGGCGGAGGGAGCCGGGCUCCCGCGCGCUCAGAGCUGGGCUGGUUGCUCUCCCCCAAGGCCGAGGGGGUCUGGGAGGGCGGGAGUCAGAGCCGCAGCCACGGGGGUGUGUUGCUGCAGAAAGUGCCCCGUGCGUACGGAGGUGCCCAGCCUCGGGGCGCCAGGGCAGCGGGAACCCGGGCUCUGCGAGCUGCAGCGCAAAGCCGAACCUCGCAGAGCCAGGCUGAGAAAUGACAGAUGGAAAAGAUAAUGUAGUCCUUGGCCAGAGCCACCUUGAGAAUCGCUGUGCUAUAUAUACUUGCAAAAAGAAGUGUGAACACAGUUACUUCGUUUGGCUUUGGAGGUAUGUUAAGUUGUUAGGGGACCAAACCGUAAGGAUUCAGCAUGGUGUGAAGAUUAAGAAAAAUGUAAAAAGGCUUUAACUCUUCAGAGAAUGUUAUUAAUAACUCUGGGAUGCCAAAUGCCACACGGUCUUACCUUCAUGGGCUCACAGGCGUGCAGACAAAACAGCUGCCAGUACUGUCACGCCUGCUGUCCCAGGAGCAGAGCCCCCAGCUUUGGAAGUGGGAGAUUAGGGUCGCGGCUGGCUUUCAAGAUCUUAUAACACAGGGAAAUCCCCACAAAACCAGUGAGUGGUCCAGCUGGAAAAGAGGUAUCAGUGAAAUGGAGAUCGAAGUCCCACAGUGAGGUCGCCGUAGAAGUUUCGAGGCAUCACACAAUUCUCCCCUCGGUGGCGUGCAGUUAGCCACCUAGAUUUCUAAGAAGAGGAAUUUUUCCAAGAGAAAAUUAUGUGGACAUCAGUCCUAGGCUUUUCAAUAACUAGAGCCGGUUCUAUGACGAGCUUUGGAGACGGUUUCCAAGCAAGCCCCAAUCUUGUUUCCAAACCUAUGAUCUCUCUCCUGGAAUUAAGAUGCAACUUUUAAAUUACCAUUUCAUAAAUCUGGGUAAACAGUUUUUUUUUUUUUUGGAAGAAAACGACUGCCUAAAAAGUCUCUUUUCUCUUGCAGAGAGCUAAGUAAAGACAACAGUCAUAACAGUAACUAUCAACAACAGCGAAAAUACAUGAACAAGCUGGGAUGAAGUGUGUGUCUGGUUAAUACUUCUUAAACUGGGAGAACCAUUAGAAUAACAGAUCUUUAAUGCUGAAAAUUUAUGUCAUGAAAUGUUUUGGGAAAAGAAUUAUGAUCUUAUUGAUUGAAAAAGAUUACAAACCAUCUAAUUCUUUUUAA